rnacentral:lncRNA from 13 species
CCCUAAAACACUAAAACAUUAACAGUCCAGACAUACACAUUUGAUUUCCCACAAACAAAAAAAACACAGAGGGAAAACAAAACUGGUCGACGUGAUGUCAUAAUGAAUGUAAAACUGGGUGUAAUGAUGUCAUUUCAACCAGUUUUGGUAACUGGGUAUAAAAAGAAAAACAAAACACUGUGCAAUUCAAUUCAACAGUCUUUAGGAGUGAUGCAGUCUCUUCACAGUGAUUUGACUCAUCCUUUCGUUUGAAGAAGCGGCGUCUAAUCCGUCAUCGAUUAAUUGUGACAUCACCGACACCAGGAUUCCAUUUCAUGUGAUGACACCAUAGAAUUAGAAUGAUUAGAAGGAUUCUAUAGUGAUGGGCCUUCUCAUAGAGAUUGAACCCUGGAGAGGAAUUUCUAGUACGAAAUCUGCGGCACAAACCGUCCCCCAUCUUGCCUGGGACUGGGUCAGAGUGAUGUCAUAUCCUGUACCUCCAGCAGCAUGGCGUCCUGUUCCGUCCUCAGCUGGUCUCGAGCCUGGAGGUGAACUACCAGCUCAGUGCUCAGAGUUUGUAUUGCCUUACUGAGAGAGUUUCUGUGAGUGUUGAGUUCUUUGAGACUGGAGGCCUGCAGGUCACUAUGGUCUCGCUUUCUAUUCUUCAACAGUGGAUCACCACACACUAGGCUCUGAGACACAGAGGACAUGGUGAAGGGCAGAAUAACUGGUUAGACCCUGAGACACAGGGGACAUGGUGAAGGGCAGAAUAACUGGUUAGACCCUGAGACACAGGGGACAUGGUGAAGGGCAGAAUAACUGGUUAGACCAUGAGACACAGGGGACAGAGUGAAGGGCAGAAUAUAAGAUAACUGAGGAUAAAACCAAAAGAACCAAACACUGUGGGCCUCGAGGACAGUAUGAUGAUCAGCCCUUAGUCCCUCCUUCCUAACCACUCCAGUAGAGGUCAAAGAUUGUAUCAGAAGGCAAGGGAAAGCAAGCGCCACAUUGCUUAAACCUAUACUCUCUCUCACCUCCUGUUUCUGUUCUGUUCUCAGCUUGUUUUUGAGUGCCCUCAGCGCAGCCUUGAAGCCUGAUGAUUUGCUUUUGGUUGCAGCUGGGGACUGGGGCUGCUGGGACACCUGCACGCUGGAACCAUUCUUUACCACCAUUUUGGAAUUCUGUAGUGGCCAAAACAAAAUGGUGACAGUGCUUUAAGAUCGAGAUUUAGAAUUAAAAUAAAACUUUAUUUUCUUUCUGAUUGAUAUUAGUUGUAGCACUCUACCCAUGACUGACCUUACCUUUUGAGGGUGUACUUACCUUUGUGCAAAUCGUUACCCCAGAAUCCUCCUCCUCUUCUUCGCUCCCGCUGUCAUUGAUGAAGCACAGCUGGAGGUUCAUCUGAUUUGAAAGACUGAGGAGGACGAACCAUUUUUUUGUUGGUGUUAGAAUCAUAAACAAAUCCCACUUGUGUGAUGAAACGGCGGGAGAAGCGUAAAGGUCAAAGGUGAGACACAAACUCACAACCUUGUGGGCAAGAAUCAGUCUAUACUGUAGUUUUAUUUCAGUAAAUCGGUCUAGAUGUAGUUUUAUUUUAGUAAUCGGUCUAGAUGUAGUUUUAUUUUAGUAAUCGGUCUAGAUGUAGUUUUAUUUCAGUAAAUCGGUCUAGAUGUAGUUUUAUUUCAGUAAAUCGGUCUAGAUGUAGUUUUAUUUUAGUAAAUCGGUCUAGAUGUAGUUUUAUUUCAGUAAAUCGGUCUAGAUGUAGUUUUAUUUCAGUAAAUCGGUCUAGAUGUAGUUUUAUUUCAGUAAAUCGGUCUAGACGUAGUUUUAUUUCAGUAAAUCGGUCUAGAUGUAGUUUUAUUUCAGUAAAUCGGUCUAGAUGUAGUUUUAUUUCAGUAA